rnacentral:lncRNA from 1 species
AUUUAAAGGUAAAGCAUUAUUCCUUAUUUGUCAUUUCCCCCUUUUUUUUUUAAAAGGGGCUUGUUUGAUUUAUAAAUUAGGCUUGAUUGUAUUUAUUUUCUUCAAUGUUGUUGUAAAAUUCUCUUUAAUAAUUAUGCCAGCUAUCACUAUAAUGUUAUAAUAUCAUCUAAAGGAAUAGAUGUGCUAGAUAUUUAUAUGUUAUCCAGCUAGUCAAAUACAUCUUAAAUUGUGAAAUAAAGUCAUUUUAUGCAUCGCUUAAUAGAAAUUCAGAGAGCCUACCAUGACUAAUACUCAGCAUAGGCUGUUUCUAAUCCCUACCUGAGAUAUCAGUGUUGGCAUUAUGACUUUCACAUGGAUAGUGAUCUAUUAAGCCUAUUCUCUGUUUAUUUCAGCUUCCUGUUUCUAAUGUUCGUAGCAUGCCACAAACUUUUUAACCCUAGGUGAACAAGAGGGGGAGAUUUUAGUUCAUUGUAAGCAUCAGAUGAAUAAUGCCAGAAUUUUAUAUAGAUGGAGUUUUUCUUGUUUCUCAAAAUGGGUGCAUUGCUGGAGAGGUAUUGAAUGCCCAGUACGGAAGUGUGAUAAGUUGAUGGUGGAGAGAGCAAGAAGGAAAAGAGGGAGACCUAAAAUGAUAUGAAGGGAAGUAGUAUCAAGAUAUUUUUUUUUUUUUUUGGACAUUUGAUGUGCACUUGGUUUCCAACGGAGCUGAAUGGUGAGAAAGGAUCCAUAUAGUUGAUCUCAACUAGUUUGAGACUAAGGCUUAGUUGUUAUUAUUGUAUAUGGUAACAGUUUUAGCACUUAUUUCCGAUAAUUGAUUGGCAGGUGCUCCCUCAUAUUUGGAGCAUCUAUUAUGCAGG